ACCCAGGGCUUCUUAUAACGACGUUUUAUUGGGAUGAUAAUUAGAUUAUUUCACUGCCUCCUGCAUUCUGCUGCUCCAGGCUCUUCCCUCACAAACUCCCGUUGCCCAUCCCAGGAAACACGCGCAUCCAGAACUCAAGAAAACACCAGCUGCCUAUGCCUUCCUCUCAGUCCUGGGCCCCUUGCUCAGUGCCUUGUUGUUGACUGCUCAGCUCAGGGGUUGACUCCAGGGUAGGAAGAUGUAGCCAUGGGGCUUAAAAAAAAAAAAAAAUCCACCUUUGGUUCAGCGACAUCACGGUUACAAGUCUCCAAGGGAACUCAGCCUGGCCCACCUUCUUCUCAAACAUCACCUACCACUGCCUCCAUGAAGCCCCAGGGGUGCUUGUAGAAGGCUCCCAAGUCCCCACCGGAACCAAACCGCACCUUCCCACUGUCCUCCACUCCCCAGCCUUCACUGGCUCUGGGGAACUUUUUCCAAAGGGAAAGAUGUGGGCAGUGCCAAUUGGACCUUUGGGCAGCCGGAAGACAGGCCAGUCCUGGGAGAAGAAAGAAAAUGGCUGAGUCCCAGCCUCCCACAAAGACGUCUGUGUGAAUGCGCCUCGCUGACCAGAUGAGGGGGCUGACUAAACCUCACCCGCCCCAGAAAGCUGGCCAAAUAUAAGGUAGUCGAGUUCACUGCUCAUCCAUGGGAAAGCUGUGAAGAAAUGGAACCUGCCCAGGGAAAGACAGUGAAGACUCUUGGGGAGGUUCAUUUCUGCUGUAGGCCCAGAGUUUGGGGAUGUACAUCAAGGCUUCUCCCGCCUCACACGCCUCCAAAGCGUUCCUCGGCUGCCGGGGAAGAAGAGCGUCACACUCCUGGCGAAGGCUGAUAAUUAAAGUCAACAUCUCAACACACUGAGUCAAUUUCUUGAACACCUUUUUUUUUUAUUGCUAGGUAACCCUGUAUGUCACUUCACUAUACCCAAAUAAUUAGUGGGUUCCCCCCCUUUUUUUUCCAAAUUUAAUGUCUUCUCAUGAAAUUUACGUUUAAUAAAGGUUGCUUUCCUGCCUUUCUCAGGAA